rnacentral:lncRNA from 1 species
GUGCGGUGGUGAGAUCUCGGCUCACUUCAACCCCCACCUCCCAGGUUCAAGCGAUUCUCGUGUCUCAGCCUCCCAAGUAGCUGGGACUACAGGAGCGUGCCACUACGCCCAGCUAAUUUUUGUAAUUUUGGUAGAGGAGACGGGGUUUCACCAUGCUGGCCAGGACGGUCUCGAUCUCUUGACCUCAUGAUCUGCUAGCCUCAGCCUCCCAAAGUGCUGGGAUUACAGGUGUGAGCCGCCGUGCCCAGCCAAGGAGGCCUUUUCUAAAACUAGCUCAGCAGGUCAAGUUUGAGGCCUAAUUGAGAAGAGGGCACAGAGAAGCCUGGCUAAAGUUUGAUCCAAGAGGGAGUUUGUCAGCGGGAGAAGAGGCAAGGAGGCUGAAAAACUGAGUGGGGCAGCAUACUUUCUGAUAAAUAAAGGUCCUCACCAACAAUUUUCCAUCCUGGUUUAAGAAACAAGAAGAUAUGACAAUUUAUCUACAGGAAUAUUGUAAAAAUUUUAGGUCAAGAUUAAUUUUAACUUUCUCUACAACUUAAAACACUACAUUUGGCCAGAGAAAUUGUUUGAUAAAUUGUUUAAGUCAGAUAUGGUUAAAUUACCCAAGUAAUGGGUUCUUAUAAGUCCAAUAAAAGUUUGAAGUUAGCAAGUAAAAAUAGAACUCAAAACUAUAUUAAACAGUCAGACUUACAUGGAGACUAUUUCAUUUGAAAUACUGUAUCAAAUAGAUUGACUCACAGGCCAUUUUCUGUGCCGAUAUAACUGUAUUUUCAUGAAUGGUCUGAACAAUAAAGUUCAUCUUGUAAAAUUUUCAGAUGAAAGCAAUGUAGGCAUGACGGCUGAUACUUGGGGGACUUGAGCGGGCUUUUACAAUGCCCCAGCAAGGAGGCAGCAUGGGCUUCAAUCAAGAGCCAAGGCAUCUAAUGUGGCUUAGCAUGGACGGUUACCCCUGGGAGAGAACAAUAAAUCCUACAACUACAUUUGGCAAGCAAUGAGUCAGUUAUACUCCAAGGAAAAGAAAGAUCCGUGGGUCAUACCAGGAAAUAAGCAUGGCUGAGAUCUGCCUCUGUGGAAGCUCCCAGGUGAUGUCAACAGUGGAUUUUAAUUGGCAGACAAAGUCUUCUACCUCCCAUUGCUUCUGGCCCAGGGGGCCUCACCCCUACUCUGCCUUCACUACAGAUUGGGUUUCCCGGUGAGCAGACCCUCACAUGGGGUUUAGCAUGCAGACUGUUUAUUAAGGAUCCCCUGCAGUUCAUGUGGAAGGGUCAGGAAGCUGGCUGGUCAGAGGGAAAGUGGAGCCCUGAUAUAGGCUGACCCCACAGGGUGCUCUGGAGUUGGAAUGUGCCCUUUCAAGUUGUACAGAGUUGGGCCUAAGUGGCCAGGUCUUCAUAUUCCUGCAUCAGUGAAUCAUUGGAUCUGGCUCUGUGCAGGCCAGGCUGUCCCUGAAGGGGCUGACUCCCAGCACUGGGCAAACGCCGUCUCCUUCCACUUUCAAAGCCAAACUGAGCUCUGUAGCAAAUUCCUAAAGGUAUUUAUGUUUUCUCUGAUAUAUUCAUGAAUAAUAUGAGUUGUGUGUGUUUCCCUAGGUCUCCUCUUCUUUUAGCUAUGGCAAAUACUGAGUUGUGAUUUGUUUUUUAUAUCUAUUUCUCCUUCACUGAACUAAACUCUUUGUGGAUCAAGGCUGUGUGUGUCACUGUGGAUUCCAUCCAUCGGCACAGGCCUGGCAUAGCACAGUGUCUGCUCGGUACAAUAUUUAUUCCCAAAUCUAUUUCUUUGUCAAUUCUUCCCUCCUGCAGGGCUGGGUGCAGCUGUAGGCCUGGGCAUCACUGGAGCUCCAGUCUAUGCAUCACUGUAACUGACUGGAGAGGCAGGGAAUGGAUGUACACGAUGUACCUGCAGGGACAGGUGACUUAGCUCAGCUGUAAGAAAAGAUGCCUGCUGAAAUAUUGAUGACUUCUCACUGUGCAUUCUUGCUUUGGAGAACAUUUUAUCAGUAUGUGUGAAAUGCCUGCAUAGCAGGGAGGAUGACUUGAUUAAUAAGUCACAUGAAGCCUAAACAAUGAACGUCAGCAGGGCCUUUCUUCAGGUAUAAAUAAGAUAAAGCACUUUGAGCCUUCUGGGCAAGAACAUGCUCUUCGGCAGGCAGGACAGGUGAUGACAGCCACUGAGGUAAAAUAUUCAGACAGGGUUUUCAGGGAAAUUAAUAUCUCUUUCCAGAGUUAAGUAAUUCCUGCGUGAUGGCUCUUCAUCUCAGUCAAAGGGGUUCAGUACAUAUUUUGUAUUUUUUCUCACAGAUCGUGAGGUCAGGGAAUAUUCCAGCUCUUGGUGCCCCCUCGCAUACACAUAAAGCAGGAUGGACAGCAAGGCCCUCACAUGCCUGGCCUGCUGCGUGCUCUGCCCCAGGGCCGCUUCCCUGCUUACUGUGCUGUUUCCUCUGACGGGGUCAAAGGACAUGAGCGUCCUGUGGCUAGCUUCUUCUACACUGACUUUGAGGUCUUGGAUGCAUGGCACAGAAAGCCCUGGCCAGAACCCAUGCACUGUGGGUCCCCACUGCUGCUGUCCUUUCUCCAGCCUUGGCUACACUGAAAUGUCCAGAGUGAUAUCUGCAGGCAUGGCAUGACCCAAAACUCCUGCUGAGGCAAAUACCUCUCCUUAGCUUCACUUCUAAAUUGAAUACACAUGCAGAUAAAUACACAUACGGAUAGGCAUUUCCAUACUCAGAGUCAGACUUAUAAUUUGGUACAAGUUAAUGAUAAAGAAAUACAGGUCCAAAAGCCAUAUAUAAUCUAUUAAUUCUACUUUUAGAAAUCUAUCCUAUGUCUACCCUAAGGAAAUGGAGAUAUGAAACAUAUUUAUAUAUGAGGAUGGUUACAGUAAUGUUUACAAUAGUAAAAAUUCACAUCAACAGUAAAACAGUUAAAUCAUGAUAUAUCCGUAAUAGAAAACUUACUCGUCUGUUAAAACUAUAAUUUUAGAGAGCAGAUUGUCAUGAAAAAUUGUUCAGGAUAAAAUAAGUAAAUUAACAAGAUAGCAAUAUCUCAAUUUUAUAAAUAGAACUCUAUAGCAAAAAGAUACUGAUACGCAUACACAUGUGUAUUAUGUAUAUGCAUGUCAGUGUCUUUGGUCAGUAUGAUUACGGUGCUCUUUAUUUUAUUCUUUAAGCUUUUCUGUGUUUUCCAGAAUUUCUACAGUGAGCAUAUAUUACUCAUAAACAGAAUAUACCAAAUUGCAAUAAAUAAAUAAAUUGAAUAUAAACCAAAGAUUUCUUCAUCAAUCUGUUAGUUCUGCUUUUGUCUUCG